GCCUUCAUGGUGUAGUGGUCAGCACGCUCGACUCGUAUUUGAGAAGUCCGUGGUUCGAGUCCCGGCGAGGGUA
rnacentral:tRNA from 1 species